rnacentral:rRNA from 1 species
UACGUAGGGUGCGAGCGUUAAUCGGAAUUACUGGGCGUAAAGCGUGCGCAGGCGGUUCUCCAAGUCCGUUGUGAAAGCCCCGGGCUCAACCUGGGAAUGGCAUUGGAAACUGGCGAGCUGGAGUGUGGCAGAGGGGGGUGGAAUUCCGCGUGUAGCAGUGAAAUGCGUAGAGAUGCGGAGGAACACCGAUGGCGAAGGCAGGUCUCUGGGCCACUACUGACGCUGAGAAGCGAAAGCAUGGGGAGCGAACAGG